CCUAAGCAGAAGUAUUGGCUUGGGUCCCUGAAAGGAGUUCUUUCUUACUGCUGCUGCUCCAGAAAAGGAACAGACCACUUGUGCUGAAAGUUGUCUCCUCCUGCUGCCUGUGCUUGCCCAGCAUGAUUGAUGGCACAUUUAUCUCCUGAAGCCAAGGGCCCUGCCACUUCUUCUGUGGGAUCUGAGGUGGUGAAAGUGCUUUGUUAUCUGACUACCAAAAAGCCCCAAGCCAGCCAACCAAGGGGUCUAAACUAGCUCAAGAAGAAGUUAAACCAGGCUGCUGAGGAGAGCUGCUCCUCCUCCAAAGGAUUUGCGUCUUUCUCUAUAGAUCACAAAAAUAUAUAAUGGAUCAAGCAGAUCACCACAACUAUAAAGGAAACAGGUGCUGCAUGGACUUAGAAUCACAGAACCAUAGAAUAAGCUGAGCUGGAAAUGGCCCAUCAGGAUCAUCAAAUCCAACUCCUGGCCCUGCACAAGACACCCCAAGAGUCACACCAUGUCCCUGAGAGUGUUGUCCAAAUGUUUCUUUAAUUCUGUCAGGCUGGUGCUGUGACCACUUCCCUGCUCCAGUGCCCAUUAAUCCAUGCAUUCCCAAGGAAUUGUAAAUCACAGGCUGAAAGUUGAUUAUCUCUCCCUCUGUGGAAACCUUGCAUAAGCCAAGAACACCUCCCCUGCACAAUCCCUCAUGGUUUCCUUAAACAAUUUCUAUCCUCUGUGAUCAAGCUGCCUUUGCACAAAAGGUGAUCCACCUCAGCCACAGCACUGCCUGUUACUAUCCAUGUAAUUCUCAUUUCUCCAUUGCCACAGCUUUUGCCAGGUUUCUACAAAAUUAAGUACUUCAACUUACCAGACUGCAGAAGCUGUUGCCUUUACUCUUCAAAUUUCCAUUCUCUGUGUUCACCAAACAGAUCUUCCUAUUGUGACCCUUUCUGCCAUUUUAACUGCAUUAAUGAGUUCCUGAGAGAUAACAGACAUCCUAUCUACUGCUAGUUAUCACCUUGAACCAAUUGCUUGGCCUGUGUUGUUUGUUACUGAUCUUACCACACCUGAGAAGUUUUUGGGAGCCAAGCUUACCUGCCUCCACUGAUUCCAGCAGUGCUUUGUGAAACACAAAGUGCUUUACCAAGGCAGACCUAACAGCUCACAGCUGUUUGAAAAGGACCUAAUUUCCCUGAUCAGCCAUCUCUGGUGACUUGUGCAGCUUAGCAGUUCACUUUUCUUAGGCACUAACAACAGAAUUGACUUUUCUUUCUUUUCUUUCUUCUCUUUCUUCUCUUUCUUCUCUUUCUUCUCUUUCUUCUCUUUCUUCUCUUUCUUCUCUUUCUUCUCUUUCUUCUCUUUCUUCUCUUUCUUCUCUUUCUUCUCUCUCUCUCUCUCUCUCUCUCUCUCUCUCUCUCUGUCUCUUUCUCUCUCUCUGUCUCUCUAUUUCCCUCUUUUCCUAUUACAUAGCCCAUGUACCUCCCUGAACAGACCAGCUCCUCUUCCCCUGGAUCAUUCUGUUCAGAGCCAUCCACUCUUUGGAACUUUUGUUUUCACUGAUUUCUGGAUGGCACUCAACUUUCUCUCCUACAAUGCAAUCCUCCUCAUCAUCAUCAUUCUGCUUGCAGACUUCUAUAUUUUGAAUAUUAUCUUGUCUUAGAGUGUCAUUUCCUGAGCUCACCAGAUUUUCAGCAUUGGUGUUCUGGUGUUCAAAGCCUUGUGGUGCUUCCUUAUUAGUCCCUACUGCUUUGAGUACCUCUCUCACCUUGAAAAAUCUGAAGACAAUUCUGCAAUUUCAAAGUUCCUCAAAAAUAAGUUUAUUUCCACUUUAUCUGUUUGCUUGCAUUUUCUGCAAAGUUUGGGGGGUUUUCCCACUCAUAGUGUGCACACCCUCUACUAUCAUGGGUGCCCUAAUCUCUUUCAUGGCAUAUUCAAGACAGAACUUUUUAAGGACCUCUAGAUAUUCCUCUGCAUUUCGUUCUGGCCUUGUGCCGAAAGCUUGUGGCUCACCAUCUUCUCACAGUCCAGUUUUGUCAUAGGUAUCUCUGGCAUGUUCUGCCAAUGCCUCGAUUUCCCCUCACUGCUUGUGUUGCCUUGGGAUCAGCUGGAACCCUUAUCAAUGACAUAAACAAGAGUUGAGAGAGUCUUAGGGAAGAAUCACUCAUGAUACUGUCAAUAUCAGAUGGAUUUUUUAGGUCAAUUUUCUAUUUAGUUUGAGCAUAAUAAUGCACAGGCAGAUGAGGCAGUAGAAGCUUUUGAAGAGAAACAAUCAUUCAUGUACUGUGUUUCGGUUUUGGCUGCAGUUACCCUUGCAAGCACCUGGACAGUUCAAACAGCAAACAAACAUUUCUUUCAAACUGCUUUCUAGACCCUUUGCAGCACAGGUGAUAUGGAUGUAUUUCAUAUAGAUGAGGCACACAACAGACACAGAACAGCUAAACUCUGAGCUCCUCUAGCACCUUCACAAGUUCUUUCAAAACACAAUCUGUAUGUGACAGAGUCAGGGGGUUUACCAGCUCCAAACUUCAUU